UACGGGGGGUGCGAGCGUUGUCCGGAAUCACUGGGCGUAAAGGGCGCGUAGGCGGCGGGGUAAGCGUGCGGUGAAAGCUCGGGGCUCAACCCCGAGUCGGCCGUGCGAACUGCCUUGCUUGAGCACUGUAGAGGCAGGUGGAAUUCCGGGUGUAGCGGUGGAAUGCGUAGAGAUCCGGAAGAACACCAGUGGCGAAGGCGGCCUGCUGGGCAGUGGCUGACGCUGGAGGCGCGACAGCGUGGGGAGCAAACAGG
rnacentral:rRNA from 1 species